UCCCUGGAGAAAUAGUGGUUAGACCACGGCACUCUUACCGCUGCGGCCCGGGUUCAAUUCCUGGCCAGGGAA
rnacentral:tRNA from 1 species